CUCGGGGUUAAUGAGAGAAGCCCUGAGGAGAGCUUGGGAACCUGAAAAGGGCCGAUGCAGGAGGUAUGCUGAUGGUGAUGAUGAUGCCCAUUUUAUGGAUGAGGAGACUGAAGCUCAGAGUAAUGAGGCCAUCUGGUCUUUUCUGCUAAUAACUGGAACCCAGGUCUGUCUGAAGCAAGACCAUCAAUAGAGUGACCUGGCUAGGCCACCAGAAGGCAGGAAUGGGGCCAGACCUUGCACAUGCUGGAGCUCCCGGGGAACCCUGGUGGUGGUGCUGGGGGCUAUGGUGUGAGCCCUUUCGGAAGUUUGCAAUCAGCGGCUCUCGUCGAGAUUCUCACAACGUUCUCCGGCAGCAGCCCUGAAGUGCGUUUGCUCCCAAGAACAUCAUGAGGACAGCGGCUGCAAUGAUUGCGUACCUGCCUCCAGCUCGGUUCCACAAACACUCGCCCAGUGCACGCUGUGCUAACAGGAAUAACACGCCCACCUGAGAAUGGAUUGGCUUCCUGGCAAACAGCUGUCCUGCACACGACCUUGUUUCAUCUUCACAGCAACUCUGGACCGGGGAAUGAAGGUGCCAGUGAGGAUCCGAGACUGGACGAGGACUGCCUUCCAUGGCCUCGUACAGCCGCAGCGUGGCAAAGCCUCACCUCUGACCGUGGUAGAGCACGUUGGCUCCAAGCUGUGGGACCCUGCGCAGGGCUUUUUUUGGCAACUGGGGCAUAACAUCAUGGAGGGGUUAAGGCACUGUUUGGGGCUCAGACAGACAUGAAAUUGAAUCCCAGGUGUCCUUCUGUCUAGCAAUGUGCUCUUGAGCAAAUUUUGCAUAUUUCUCAUCUGGAACAAUAAACGUACCUUCUGGAUAGGGUUGCUGGAGGCACCAAUGGGAUGUCAUUUACAGGUGAAGAGUUUCGUACAAGAGACCGUUAUUAGCAAGAGUCAUUUUGAAAGAUGGAACACCCUGGAAAUUUUGUAUCCUUUCUACCUACUGUGCAGAUGGUCUGACUAUACGUUCGAAGACCCAAGUCUUCCUUGCCCGGCUGACAAAGCCACCUCCUUAUCCUGACGUCUACAUCCCCCAUUAAGGACAGGCCUGGGGAUGCUGCAUUGCCCUGCCCCAUGGCUCCCCUGCGCUGCUCUGUCAGCAGCUGGCUCAGCUCAGGCAAGGUCCCUCUCUGCUAACCGUAAGUCUGGAUCGAUCCCCAUCUCAGGGUCAUUUUGAGGAUUAACUAAUCCAUCAUGGGGAGACCUUUAAAAAGUGCCAAUAUGGCCAAGGCGAUUGUCAGGCUGACUGGAAACCGAGUUCACUGGUCUCCCUGCCUCCAAGAUAUGCAAGUUGAGCCUUGCAUCUGGACCAACUCUCCUGUGGGCAAAACCUCAGUGUGUGUGGGUUGCACUGAGCUCACCGGCCGUCUGUCUGCCCACCUGCCGCCUCGGACCUUUUUGAUCUCUCUCUUUGUUUCUUUAAGAGACCGUGAGGGUGAGAAGAUAAAGGGACCAGGAUUCCAGACACCAAAGAGCUUUUGUUUGUGUUUCUAAUAGAACUGAAUACAUUACAUUUUCCCUCUUGGCAUCAGCUUAUUGACUCAAAACAUCGUUCUGAGAUUAUACCUUUCUGAUUUUAUGUUUUGUAAAUCUCGAAGGUUUCUGGAAACCUACAGGGUACGUUUUUCUACC